rnacentral:lncRNA from 1 species
CUACUUUAAAUAAAUAACCUUCUUUACUGCUUAAUGAAGAAUAAUGAACUAUGCACGUCAUUAUGGGAUGAAGAACAGGGAGUAAAGACAGAAUUUCUCACUGUAGCAAGAUGGCAGACUAAGAAAUAUUUAACACUAUCACUGUUCCCUGAAGCCUCCUCAGAAGCCGAGCAAAUGCCAGUGCCACGCUUGUACAGCCUGCAGAACUGUCAGCUAAUUCAACCUCUUUCUUUUUUAACUACCCAGUCUCAGGUAUUCGUUUAUAGCCACGCAAAAAUGGCCUAAAACAUCCUUUUCCCUCCUACUGAAUCUGGAUAAACCUAUGACUGUUUUGACCAACAGAAUACAGAGCAGUGUGUAUUUCUCUCAUUCAGCCAUGUAUUCACUUAAUGACUACAUAAUGAAUGCCUUCUGUGCCAAGGAAUAUAACUACUCAUUUAUUAACACCAAGUCCUGAAGAUAUGGCAUUCUUUUACUCAAUUUUCAUGAUCAUCACAUACCUUAGUGAAAAAUUAAAAUCAUGAUGUUUCAGUUAAGGAAUCUAAGAUGCUGUGCUUAACAAAAUUGCUGAAGUUACCACAAAUAAAAACAGGCUUUCCAGACUGCAGAAAAACUUCUUCUGAAGACUUAAUGAGACACACAUAGUCACUGCCUGAGCUUUCUGCCCCUGAAUAAAGAUAUCUUCUUAUAGGGUCUGAAUUAGACUUCACAAUGGAAUUCAUCAGCAAAUAUUGGUGUCUACAUCUUUAAAAUGUGUCUGGAUUCUAAUCCUCACGAUUUCAACCACAACCUCCAUUGCCAGAGCCACCAUCAUCUCUCACCUCAAUUAUAGCAACAGCUUCUAACUGCUCUGUCAGUUUCUGCUUCUUCCCAAACAUUCCAUUCUCAAAACAGCAACCAAAGUGUUGCAUUAAAAAUAUCAUUGGAUCAGCAGGGCACAGUGACUCACGCCUGUAAUCCCAGCA